rnacentral:rRNA from 1 species
UACGUAGGGUGCAAGCGUUAAUCGGAAUUACUGGGCGUAAAGCGUGCGCAGGCGGUUUGGUAAGUCUGUCGUGAAAGCCCCGGGCUCAACCUGGGAAUUGCGAUGGAGACUGCAAGGCUUGAAUCUGGCAGAGGGGGGUAGAAUUCCACGUGUAGCAGUGAAAUGCGUAGAGAUGUGGAGGAACACCGAUGGCGAAGGCAGCCCCCUGGGUCAAGAUUGACGCUCAUGCACGAAAGCGUGGGGAGCGAACAGG